UGAGGUGAAGCAAAAAACACAAACAGCUAUCUGACGCAAGGCAGAGAAGAAAAAAGGGGUUAGCUACACAAGCUAUCACAACGAGAACUAGUAAUCACAGAGAAGCCAAUAGAGUACAAUACCACGCGAGCUGGUGAAACAAUCUGGCGGCGAGGUGAAGCAGAGGGAAGUCUUUGUAGUAGAGAUCCUGAUGACCAACGAGCUGCACCUGGUGCCGCCUGGGAACAUGAACCUACCACACUCACACAGACAGGGGAGAGACACAUGAGGAUUAAACAGACAGGGAAUGACAAACAACACCACUGUAGGAGCCAAACACAAAUUGUUCCAGCAGGUGUCGCCUUCAGGUUAAGGUGAAACUAUAUAGGAAACUGCAGCCAUUGAAACAACAAGGAGGAACAACAACACAUCAUGUGGAUGGUUUCUGUCUACGAGUGUUUCUGAUUUCUUGAAGGACCUUAAAAUUCCAUCGUGGGGUGGAUGAGCGGUAGGGGAAGCAGGGACAGCGGAACGAGCACCACAAGGAUCAGCUUCCUCGCCCUCCACAGCUUCCUGAUCAGAUCCACCCUGGCUGCGGCCUCUAGCCUCAUGGGGGACCCGGAGCUCUGGAUCGGAUCGGCCACUACUCAGCAGAACCGGUUGUGAAAGUCAUGAACCGGCUGACGGGGAAAGUCUCUGAGAGCCAGCGAGCGCGGAGGGCUGGAGGAAGGUCUCCUUGGAGCGCGUAAAGUUCUGUCUCGGCUGUGCGCUUUUACGCACAGAAGGUGGACGGUGACCGGAUCUGAGUGCGUCUCUUAGAAAGGUGAGUCAACUCGGCUGAAGUUGCUUCUCCGAACCUGAGUUUAACUUCCCCCUCGUGUAACCUUCGUGCCAUGCACUUCAGAUGAAACCCCUCUGCUCCUGCUCUUUGUGUGUCUGAUGCUGUUCGGAGCAUCAGGUAAUUUAUUAGCCUUGUUAACGAACCACGA